CUUGUACACACCGCCCGUCACACCAUGGGAGCGGGGUGCACCAGAAGUAAGUAGGCUAACCGCAAGGGGCCGCCUACCACGGUGCGCUUCGUGACUGGGGUG
rnacentral:rRNA from 1 species